CACGUAGGGGGCGAGCGUUGUCCGGAUUUAUUGGGCGUAAAGAGCUCGUAGGCGGUUCGGUAAGUCGGGUGUGAAAACUCUGGGCUCAACCCAGAGACGCCACCCGAUACUGCUGUGACUUGAGUCCGGUAGGGGAGCGUGGAAUUCCUGGUGUAGCGGUGAAAUGCGCAGAUAUCAGGAGGAACACCAGCGGCGAAGGCGGCGCUCUGGGCCGGAACUGACGCUGAGGAGCGAAAGCGUGGGUAGCAAACAGG
rnacentral:rRNA from 1 species